UGUGCCAGCAGCCGCGGUAAUACGUAGGGCGCAAGCGUUAUCCGGAUUUAUUGGGCGUAAAGGGCUCGUAGGCGGCUCGUCGCGUCCGGUGUGAAAGUCCAUCGCUUAACGGUGGAUCUGCGCCGGGUACGGGCGGGCUGGAGUGCGGUAGGGGAGACUGGAAUUCCCGGUGUAACGGUGGAAUGUGUAGAUAUCGGGAAGAACACCGAUGGCGAAGGCAGGUCUCUGGGCCGUCACUGACGCUGAGGAGCGAAAGCGUGGGGAGCGAAC
rnacentral:rRNA from 1 species